AUGGCUUGUCGGAACUCUUUGCAGAGUCUCAUACGUGUGAAUAACAUGCCAUCGCGCUUCUGUACGUGGGACCUUCGGAAGCUUUUGGAACCAUUCGGACCAUUGCUGAUGUGCCACGUUCCAAUGGGCAGUUCUGAAGUGCGCAGAGGCUUCGGCUAUGUGGUAUUCGAGCACCGUGCGCAUGCUGAGGAAGCCAUUGAUGUGCUCAAUUGCUGCGUCUUUGGUGGCCGUAAGCUCCGAGUCGACCGGGCCUAUCCUUGCGCGUAG
rnacentral:rRNA from 1 species